CAUAGAUGUAAUACCCAUAGAUGAAGCUCAACCCUGACUUCAAAGGUUAUAUGUGCGUUGUAAUGGCUUUCACACUUAUCUGAUAAUGACAUGAACCAGUUGGUCAUGGAGAUGCAGAUUUACAAUCAUGACAAUAGAAAACUGACAAUUAAAAGUUACUUAGCAAUUAAACAUGCUAAAAAUCAGAAAGAAACAAAAUAAAAAAAUAUAUUUU
rnacentral:lncRNA from 1 species